CCUACGGGGGGCAGCAGUGAGGAAUAUUGGUCAAUGGGCUUACGCCUGAACCAGCCAAGUCGCGUGAGGGAAGACUGCCCUAUGGGUUGUAAACCUCUUUUGUCAGGGAGCAACGCCGGCUACGUGUAGCCGGACUGAGAGUACCUGAAGAAAAAGCAUCGGCUAACUCCGUGCCAGCAGCCGCGGUAAUACGGAGGAUGCGAGCGUUAUCCGGAUUUAUUGGGUUUAAAGGGUGCGUAGGCGGAAUGCCAAGUCAGCGGUAAAAUCGCGGGGCUCAACCUCGCUCCGCCGUUGAAACUGGCGUUCUGGAGUGGGCGAGAAAUAUGCGGAAUGCGUGGUGUAGCGGUGAAAUGCUUAGAUAUGACGAAGAACCCCGAUUGCGAAGGCAGCUUGCUGCAGCGGAACUGACGCUGAUGCUCGAAAGCGCGGGUAUCGAACAGGAUUAGAUACCCGAGUAGUC
rnacentral:rRNA from 1 species